UUGACCUCAAAUCGAGUAGGACUACCCGCUGAACUUAAGCAUAUCAAUAAGCGGAGGAAAAGAAACUAACAAGGAUUCCCCUAGUAACGGCGAGUGAAGAGGGAAGAGCUCAAAUUUUGAAUCUGGCGUCUUUGGCGUCCGAAUUGUAAUCUAGAGAAGUGUUUUCCGUGAUGGACUGUGCACAAGUCUCCUGGAAUGGAGCGUCAUAGAGGGUGAGAAUCCCGUAUAUGGCACAGACUCCCGUUGCCCUGUGAUACACUCUCGACGAGUCGAGUUGUUUGGGAAUGCAGCUCUAAAUGGGUGGUAAAUGCCAUCUAAAGCUAAAUAUUGGCGAGAGACCGAUAGCGAACAAGUACCGUGAGGGAAAGAUGAAAAGCACUUUGGAAAGAGAGUGAAACAGUACGUGAAAUG
rnacentral:rRNA from 1 species